rnacentral:rRNA from 1 species
GCAGCAUGAACUUAGCUUGCUAAGUUUGAUGGCGACCGGCGCACGGGUGAGUAACACGUAUCCAACCUGCCGAUGACUCGGGGAUAGCCUUUCGAAAGAAAGAUUAAUACCCGAUGGCAUAGUUCUUCCGCAUGGUAGAACUAUUAAAGAAUUUCGGUCAUCGAUGGGGAUGCGUUCCAUUAGGCUGUUGGCGGGGUAACGGCCCACUAAGCCUUCGAUGGAUAGGGGUUCUGAGAGGAAGGUCCCCCACAUUGGAACUGAGACACGGUCCAAACUCCUACGGGAGGCAGCAGUGAGGAAUAUUGGUCAAUGGACGAGAGUCUGAACCAGCCAAGUAGCGUGAAGGAUGACUGCCCUAUGGGUUGUAAACUUCUUUUAUACGGGAAUAAAGUGAGGCACGUGUGCCUUUUUGUAUGUACCGUAUGAAUAAGGAUCGGCUAACUCCGUGCCAGCAGCCGCGGUAAUACGGAGGAUCCGAGCGUUAUCCGGAUUUAUUGGGUUUAAAGGGAGCGUAGGCGGACGCUUAAGUCAGUUGUGAAAGUUUGCGGCUCAACCGUAAAAUUGCAGUUGAUACUGGGUGUCUUGAGUACAGUAGAGGCAGGCGGAAUUCGUGGUGUAGCGGUGAAAUGCUUAGAUAUCACGAAGAACUCCGAUUGCGAAGGCAGCUUGCUGGACUGUAACUGACGCUGAUGCUCGAAAGUGUGGGUAUCGAACAGGAUUAGAUACCCUGGUAGUCCACACAGUAAACGAUGAAUACUCGCUGUUUGCGAUAUACAGUAAGCGG